AUUGAACGCUGGCGGCAGGCUUAACACAUGCAAGUCGAGCGGGGUGAUGGUGCUUGCACUAUCACUUAGCGGCGGACGGGUGAGUAAUGCUUAGGAAUCUGCCUAUUAGUGGGGGACAACAUCUCGAAAGGGAUGCUAAUACCGCAUACGUCCUACGGGAGAAAGCAGGGGAUCACUUGUGACCUUGCGCUAAUAGAUGAGCCUAAGUCGGAUUAACUAGUUGGUGGGGUAAAGGCCUACCAAGGCGACGAUCUGUAGCGGGUCUGAGAGGAUGAUCCGCCACCCUGGGACUGAGACACGGCCCAGACUCCUACGGGAGGCAGCAGUGGGGAAUAUGGGACAAUGGGGGGAACCCUGAUCCAGCCAUGCCGCGUGUGUGAAGAAGGCCUUAUGGUUGUAAAGCACUUUAAGCGAGGAGGAGGCUCUUUUGGUUAAUACCCAAGAUGAGUGGACGUUACUCGCAGAAUAAGCACCGGCUAACUCUGUGCCAGCCGCCGCCGUAA
rnacentral:rRNA from 1 species